ensembl:lncRNA
GCCAGAACCAGGAACUCGAGAAUUGACUUGCUGUUGUGGUCAGAUAAUGAACCCCAUGAAGGCAGCAAUCAAAUCUAUUCUGGAGCAUGUCCAGCAUCUAGGGGAGAUCCUGGGAAAUGGGAUGCAUUCAGCAUGAGUAUAACUGCAGCUUGCCCUCCAUCUCCUAUUGCGGAUGAGCCUUCAGCUCUACGAUCUCCCAGCUCCUCUGCCUCCUCCAGUUGGUGACUCUUCUUGCCUGUUCACUUGAUGCCAGCCCCUGUGUACCAGCUGUUGUCAUGCACUACAGUAUUUUUCAAGAGUAACACUUUCUAUUACGUAUUUUACAUGUCUACAUUGGAGAAAUGAAUAAAAAGCAACAAUCUUCUCUGAUGGAAAUAGAAUAUAAGUCAUAUGGGGUCUUAGCUUCCGACCAGAGAAAGAACCCACAGUCCCUGCAUUGGAAGGCAAAGUCUUAACCAUCAGACAGCCAAGGAGGUCUCUAUUCUGGAUACACAAGAAGCAAAAUCAUCAAUGAAUUAAAAUGUAACUUACAUGUAACUAGAGAGCCAUCAACCAAUGCCAUAUUAGCACUUCAAUAGCGUCUGCUCUUUGCCAGUGUUCUUUCUGAGAGAGCCUU